AGAACUCUUGAGACCUUAUACAUCUUUUACCUCUCCUACUUCCUCUCAGGAUACAGACACUGAGACCCAGGGAAGUGAACGGACUUUACAAAGAUGGCCGCUCUCGAAAUCGAUGCAUGGAGGAUUAAAAAGAGCAUGAAUUUUAGAAACAAGAUUGACAGAAAAUAUUCUCUUUUACUCUCUUAAAAUAUGGGAAUAACACCAAGAAGGAAAAAAACAAAACAAACAAAAACAACCUUUCUCAACGAAGGCACUAAGUGGUAAGAAAUUAUGAAUCAGCUGAAUGAACAAACUUAUCUACUGUUUCUAUAAUGUCUAAUUUAGGGAAAGCAGCUGUGAUACAAGGGCUCGAGAAACAGAAGAAAAGGAAUGGAAAAUCUA